rnacentral:rRNA from 1 species
UACAUGGGGUGCAAACGUUGCUCGGAAUCAUUGGGCGUAAAGCGCGCGUAGGCGGUUACUUAUGUCGGAUGUGAAAGCCCUCGGCUUAACUGAGGAAGUGCAUUCGAAACUGGGUAGCUAGAGUACUAAAGAGGGUCGCGGAAUUCCCGGUGUAGAGGUGAAAUUCGUAGAUAUCGGAAGGAACACCGGUGGCGAAGGCGGCGACCUGGGUAGAUACUGACGCUGAGGCGCGAAAAGCGUGGGGGAGCAAACAGG